rnacentral:tRNA from 1 species
UCCCUGAUGGCUCAAUGGGUAAAGAAUCCACCUGCAAUGUGGGAGACCUGGGUUCGAUCCCUGGGUUGGGAA